CUUCGGCCUGGUUAUUCAUAACCCUUUGUUGUCCGACUCUGUUGCCUCCGGGGCGACCCUGCCUUCGGGCGGGGGCUCCGGGUGGACACUUCAAACUCUUGCGUAACUUUGCAGUCUGAGUAAACUUAAUUAAUAAAUUAAAACUUUUAACAACGGAUCUCUUGGUUCUGGCAUCGAUGAAGAACGCAGCGAAAUGCGAUAAGUAAUGUGAAUUGCAGAAUUCAGUGAAUCAUCGAAUCUUUGAACGCACAUUGCGCCCCCUGGUAUUCCGGGGGGCAUGCCUGUUCGAGCGUCAUUUCACCACUCAAGCCUCGCUUGGUAUUGGGCAACGCGGUCCGCCGCGUGCCUCAAAUCGUCCGGCUGGGUCUUCUGUCCCCUAAGCGUUGUGGAAACUAUUCGCUAAAGGGUGUUCGGGAGGCUACGCCGUAAAACAACCCCAUUACUAAGGUUGACCUCGGAUCAGGUAGGGAUACCCGCUGAACUUAAGCAUA
rnacentral:rRNA from 1 species